UACGUAGGGUGCGAGCGUUGUUCGGAAUUAUUGGGCGUAAAGGGCUCGUAGGCGGUCUGUCGCGUCGGUCGUGAAAACUCAGGGCUUAACCCUGAGCCUGCUUCCGAUACGGGCAGACUAGAGGUAUGCAGGGGAGAAUGGAAUUCCUGGUGGAGCGGUGAAAUGCGUAGAUAUCGGUUGGAACGCCAAUGGUGAAAACAGGUUGCUGGGAGUGUGCUGACGCUGAGACACGAAAGCCAGGGGAGCAAACGGG
rnacentral:rRNA from 1 species